rnacentral:sRNA from 1 species
GUCGUGAGAUGUUGGGUUAAGUCCCGCAACGAGCGCAACCCCUGUUCUUAGUUGCCAGCGCGUAAUGGCGGGGACUCUAGGAAGACUGCCGGUGCCAAACCGGAGGAAGGUGGGGACGACGUCAAGUCAUCAUGGUCCUUACGUCUAGGGCUACACACGUGCUACAAUGGGCGGGACAGAGGGGGCCGAGGCAGCAAUGCCAAGGCAAUCCCAAAACCCGUCCUCAGUUCGGAUUGUCGUCUGCAACUCGACGGCAUGAAGCUGGAAUCGCUAGUAAUCGUGGAUCAGCAUCGCCACGGUGAAUACGUUCCCGGGCCUUGUACACACCGCCCGUCACGCCAUGGAAGUGGUGAGCGCCCGAAGUCCGUGUCGGAACCCGCAAGGGGCCAAGCGGCCGAAGGCGAGCAUCAUGACUGGGGCGAAGUCGUAACAAGGUAGCCGUAGGGGAACCUGCGGCUGGAUCACCUCCUUAACGGAGCUGCGAGUAAGGCAGAACAAGCCUGGGCAACCAGGAGUUACUUUGCCGGAAAGCACUCACGUGUCGCUCGCCUCGUAACAUCCCGAUCUCAAUCUCGAUUUCCAUAUAUAAAAGAGCCGGACUCAUAAACCGCCCAAGCGGGGAAUGAAUCAGGCUCGAAAGAAGUAGAGGGACUUGAGACUAAGUCCUUAAGCACCAAGCGACAGAGCGCUUAUAUCUCGAAAGCUUUUUGACAAUGGAAAGUAGUAGUGAUCGUGGGAUUUGAGCGCCUGGACCUGAUAAGAUCCGGGUGCUGAGAAUCAACACUAGUGACACAAUUUCAUAGAAGCUCUGACCUUCGGGUUGGGGCUCGAUUUGUCUCAAAGAGCUUGAAGAAGCUUCGAGAGUCCAAAUGAUUGUAUCACUCGUUAGAUCGCGCGUGUUAUUGUUUGAACAAAUGGAACAAGUUAUUUGAUCAAGCGAAAGAAAGUAUGUGGGGGAUGCCUAGGUACACAGAGGCGAUGAAGGCCGUGGUAAGCUGCGAUAAGCCAGGGGGAGCUGCACACAAGCUAUGAGCCCUGGAUGG